rnacentral:tRNA from 4 species
CGGGGCGUAGCGCAGUCUGGUUAGCGCGCUUGGUUCGGGACCAAGAGGUCGGAAGUUCGAAUCUUCUCGCCCCGACCA